rnacentral:rRNA from 1 species
CCUACGGGAGGCAGCAGUGAGGAAUAUUGGACAAUGGGCGCAAGCCUGAUCCAGCCAUGCCGCGUGCAGGAAGACGGUCCUAUGGAUUGUAAACUGCUUUUAUACAGGAAGAAAUACUUUCUCGUGAGAGAGCUUGACGGUACUGUAAGAAUAAGGAUCGGCUAACUCCGUGCCAGCAGCCGCGGUAAUACGGAGGAUCCAAGCGUUAUCCGGAAUCAUUGGGUUUAAAGGGUCCGUAGGCGGUUUAAUAAGUCAGUGGUGAAAUCUGGUCGCUCAACGAUCAAACGGCCAUUGAUACUGUUAGACUUGAAUUAUUGUGAAGUAACUAGAAUAUGUAGUGUAGCGGUGAAAUGCUUAGAUAUUACAUGGAAUACCAAUUGCGAAGGCAGGUUACUAACAAUGGAUUGACGCUGAUGGACGAAAGCGUGGGGAGCGAACAGGAUUAGAUACCCUGGUAGUCCACGCCGUAAACGAUGGAUACUAGCUGUUGGGCGCAAGUUCAGUGGCUAAGCGAAAGUGAUAAGUAUCCCACCUGGGGAGUACGUUCGCAAGAAUGAAACUCAAAUGAAUUGAGG